rnacentral:sRNA from 1 species
UUUUUUUUUUUUUUCGGUUUUGUGAACUUGCGGUUGAGUGUUUUCGGAAGGCCGAGUGGAGGUAGACGAGCGGUGAUUCGAGUUGUUGAAUCGGUGGUGGAGAAACGGAGGUGCUCUUGGCGUGAAGUUGAGUGGAGUUAUGAGCUAGAGAAAGCUGUGUUGAGGUCGAGUGUAUUCCUUGGAGAGGAGAAAUGACUGUUUGUUGAGCAAAUGAGAGACGAAGAUAGAUGGUGAGGUCGAGUGAUUAGGCAAGGUCGAGUAGUGAUGCUUGGACGAAGAAGGUGAUGAGGAAUCGAGUGUAUGGUUGCUGAAUCGAGUAAACCGUUGUUGAGUGAAAGGAGAUGACGAGCUUUCGUGGGAUGAGAGCAGCGGCGUUGGAAACGAUGGAGAGAUGAGGAGCUUAAAGGUGAUAAAUGUUCGGCGGUCGAGUGAAGCUGUAAUGGAGGAGAAUCAAUUUGGUUGGUUGAUGGUGGAGAGGUCGAGUGAGUGAAAUGGAGAGCUCGAGUUGUUUCCUUGGAGAGAGUGAGUAGGCAACGAUGAUGGAGAGGCGGUGAGAAGCGGCGAUCGAGUGAUGGUUGUGGGGAGGAGAUGGGUUUGGAGGUCGACUGUUUUAUGGGAGAGAAGUGGGAGAAAUAAAGUCGAGUUUAUGAGGUGUUAAGGAGGAGGUGACGAGGUCGAGUAAAGGAGAUAAAGGAGCGUUGAUUCAAGAGGUAUGGGGUCGAGUGGUUUAGAGUUUUGUUUGUUGGUGGUGAUGAAUGAGAGUGAUGGGUCGAGUUUAUGGGGUUGUGGAGGAGAAAACGAGGUGAUGAGGUCGAGUUAAGAGGGAUGGAGGUCGAGUGAUGGUGUUGACGUCGAGUGGAGGAGAAGAGAUGAGGAGAGAUUUCCUGUCCUUUGGUCUGUUGCAUGGAGGACAUGGGCGUCAGCGGCGGGUCCCAGAAUGUCUUCUUGUCUCUUCUGUGUAUUCUCUGUUCACUAGAAAAACUCCAGGAAAUCCCGCAAUCCUCUGUAAACUUGAAAGACUCCCUGGAAGACUUUGUAGCUUCUGUUGGUCGAGUAAAAUGAUGAUUUAAUUUUUUUUUAGGUUUUUAAACAUCACUCAUACUCGACCACUAUACUCGAUCUCUAGGCCAUCAGUGGAGUAAAAGUUUUGAAUUUUUACUCUACCUGCACGUUACUCCUUUCUUCCGGAGAACCACAAACACAACCAAAACAAAUAAAAAAUAACAAGAAAGUAAGAAUUAUUUACAAGGAUAGUCAUGGUACUUCCUCCCAAGUGAGCUUGUUUAAAGUCUCUAGCUUGACUCCUCACACUCAUCAAGAAGAAAAUGAAUGAUAGAGAGGGUCUGCAUAGUCCUCUCUAGUAUCAUCAUCAUACCCAGCGUCCUCCGUGGAGAGGUCUGCAGCAGAAUACUCAAUUCCCCUUCUCUUCAAAAUAGGCUUCCUUUAGGUUGAGCUUUCUUCUGCAUCUAAUUCAGCUUACUCCUAAGUUCCUCAAUAGUGUGGGCUAGCUUCUCUAUAGUUUCAUCUUGCUUAUCAGACCUCUUUUUAAGUUCUUUCACUCUUUCAGUCUCAUAUCCUUCUCCUGAGAUCGCUCUAUCAUUUCCAGAGGUUCUUCCAUCUUCUAUUGACCCUUGUGGAGUUCUGUUGAUGUUAAAGUGCAACUUGAUGUGCUUUCCAAGGUUGAGACCUAUUUUCCCUUCUCUGACAUCUAUCACUGCUCCCACUGAAGCUAAGAAUGGUCUUCCCAGUAUUAAGGGAUCCUUAUGCUCUACUUCCAUAUCCAGCACCACGAAGUCUGUAGGCACUUCUACUCCAUUAAUCAUGACUGGUAGGUCUUUCAGCAUGCCGAAGGGUUUUCUAGAAGACCUAUCCACAAGGAUCAAAGUCAGGUCACAAGGUUUAUACUGAAUGAACUCUAACCUUCUUGCCACAGAGAGUGGCAUCAAGCUAACAGAGGCUCCGAGAUCGCACAGACAAUCGCUGAAAGCAAAUUCCCCAAUGGAACAUGGUAGAGUGAAAGAUCCAGGAUCUUCUAAUUUCUCUUGAACAAUCCUUUUACCAGCAGCUCGAGAUGGAGUGGCGUCACUUUCAUCAUCUGAAUCGUGAUACAUCUUGAUCCUUUCCAGUAUUAAAUUUCUCACAUCUUUGCGAGGAUCAGGAAUCAGGUUAAGAACUUCCAUUAGUGGCAUUACUGCUUCAAUCUCGUCCAACUGCUUCGCUGCAACAGACUUGUAUCUCUCCAUCCAUGCUUUCCUGAAUGUCCACGGAAGAGCACGUGAGGGUAGUGGAGUAGGUUUGAAUCGUUUUACCAUUCUCUCGAUUAUGGCGGCCUUCUCUUCCGAGGUGAAUUGAGUGAGAUGGCGAGAACCAGCAGAAUGGUUAAAUUCAACAACAGAGACUUCAACCUGAGUAGAAGCCUCCCCUUCUUGAACAUCACUGUCCCCAGUGAUGAAAUCAGGGACAGGUCGAGUUGGCAGCUCUCGAUCAUGACAGAUGGUGAUGGCGUGAGCGGUUGCAUACUCUUUUGGAUUCUGUAUGGACUUUCCUGGAAGUCCUGUAACUUUUGGUGCAGAGGUAGAUGCUGAUUGGCCUUCCAAGUAUCUGACUUUGGUAUUCAAUGCCUCCACUUUGGCAUUCAGGUCGUUGUAGCUGCAGUCCAGCUUAUGGUGCAAUUUAGAUAAUUUCUUAGCAAUUUCCAUUGAGCUAGAUGCUUGUCCCUGUAGCAGCUGUUGGACCAUCUGUUUCAUUUCAGCGUCAGGAGCAGCAGGACCUUGGUUUUGCUGAGGUGCAAAUCCAGGUGGUGGUGGUUGGUGGUAGUUCCCCUGGAAUUGCUGCUUAGGAACGAAACCUUGGUUGUAGGGAACAAAAGGUUUGUUCUGACCUUGUUGUUACUGUGUAGGAUACACCUGAUCCUGAGGAUUAGCAAUGUUGGUGCUGCGGUAGGAGAGGUUGGGAUUGUUGGUUUUGAAGUUGUUGUAUCCUUUAUAGCCACUCUGGUUGUUGUUGAUGUAGCUGACUUCUUCCAACUGGUUACCCUCCCCAUCUUGGACUUGAUACUGCUCGUCAUCAACAAGGAAGUGCACAUGCUUCUGCUGGCUAAGAAGAAUCAUGUCCAGCUUGUCAUUCAGCGCUUUGAUAUCCUUCCUGUGUUUGUCAUCAGAGUCAGCUGUUCCUCUGACGGUCCUAUCACAGUCCUCGUUGUAAUUGCCAUCUUAAACAUCCUUGUUCUGGAAAUUCCCAUUGCUGGCGGUAUCCAGAAGCAUUUUGAUGCGUUGUAGGACUCCUCUAUAAAGUGUGCUGAGCAGAGAGGUUUUGGUAAAGCCAUGAUGAGGGCAUUGGUUGGUGUAACCCUUGAAACGCUCCCAUGCUUCACAGAAGCUUUCACCAAUCUUCUGUGAGAAACCAGAAAUCUCAUUUCUGAGUCUUGCAGUUCUGGCAUUGGAGAAGAACUUUGAUAGAAAAGCCUUUUUGCAAUCAUCCCAGGUGGUGAUUGAGUCAUGGGGCAGAUUCUUCUCCCACAUGUGUGCUUUGUCGCCCAAGGAGAAAGGAAACAAACGAAGCUUGAAUCCGUCUUCACUAACACCAUUGAUCUUCGUUAGGUUGUAGAGCCUAUUGAAUUCAUCAAGGUGGUCGAGUGGAUCCUCCAUUGGCAGACCAUGGAAUUUGUUCCCCUGAAUCAUCGAGAUGAGACCACUCUUAAUCUCGAAGUUGUUGUUCUGGAUAGCAGGAGGUGCAAUUCCCUUCCUCUGACGGUGAUCACGUGGUGCAUCUCCAGCACCAAUGUUGGCAGGGCCAUUUUGUUGAUUCUGUUCUUCAGCCAUUUGGAGUGGUUGCUGAGGUACAGGGUUGACUGUGGUUCUCCUUUUUCUGAGUUCGCGAUCUGUGCGGUUGAUGUUGUUGUUGAAAAGGAGGUUCUGGUUACCGGUUGAUCGAGUUCGCAUACAACAGAGGUGUACCUGGAUCAAGAAGACAACAAGAAAAACACACGGUUAGUAACUGAAAAGAAAAUUGAAAAAGAACUUGAUCUAAGCAAGUCUGAAAUCUCAAAUGUAACAAACAAACACCCAAUUGGCAACGACGCCAAAUUGAUAGAAACUAUAAAAUCAACAAAUGACAGGAUGCAGUACACAACAGUAGAGUAAACAAUAAAAUCAAUCAGCUAAAGAAUUUCUAAGGAUGGGGUAAUUGAGUAGUUUCAUUUCCUCAGUUUACAAGUGAUUGACAUGCUCAAUAAAUUAACCCUAGACAACAAGUUCAUUAACCAAAUCUAAGUGCCACCGCAACAGAGACUCUCAAGCUAACCUAGUCCCAGACUCAAUCACCAUUGACGAGAGCUAACCUAACAGACAUUACGAAUCAACAAGUUAAAGCCAAAACGCUCCCUGCAACCAAUACCUUGGUACAGGGUCACGAAUCUCUGGAAUUAGUGGUUCAGACAUUUCAUCGAACACCUUUUGGGCGUGGAAAUGUCUGGGCUCAAAUUCCAGUUGAUCAGAAAGCAAUAGGCAUUAAGUACAACUAAUCCAGAAGGGAUCUAUCAACCAAUACUCAAUCACCUAGCAUACUGAGAAUUCUACACUACUCUAACCCAUCCUCAGAAACCUAUUCACUACUCAGACAUCAUAAAAGAAAGCAUAAACGUUGAACAAAUUGAAAACAUGAUAACAACAAUGUAACAACAGGAUGAUAACAAAAUGAACAACAGUAAACGAAAGCAAGAACAGAAACUGAAUACUGAAUAGAUAAAGAGAAAUCCGGAUUACAAAAAGUCUAGAACACAAGUUCUGCUGAAAUAAAACUAGAUAAAAACUUCUUGUCUACGAAAAUGUGAAGUACAUGCUACUUAUAGCCAAAUAUCCUGAAACCCUAAUACUCAAAACGACGAAGUAUUAGGACGGGUUAAGAACUGUACUCGACCCACGUGGUCGAGUGAGAGGUCGAGUGAAUAGCUGGAGUCUUCUUUUCUUCCUUGUGCUCGAGUGUCUGGUUGAGUGCGGAAUGAAGAAGGCUCUGAAGCUUGUCAUCGAGUAUGCAGUCGAGUGGUGGUGAUGGUGAUACUCGACAUCCAGGUAGAGUGAUGAGGUCGAGUAGAGGUCUGGCAAUGGGAUGAAGUCACUCAGCCUGGGGGUCGAGUGAUGUGAUCGAGUGGUGUCAGAAGAUACUCGACUUCCAGGUUGAGUGAUGAGGUCGAGUGGUGGUCCGAUGAUGGAGGUGAAGACACACGACCUCAUGGUCGAGUGAUGUGAUCGAGUGAUGGUCUGGUGAUGAAGAUGAGGGCACUCGACCUCGUGGUCGAGUGGUGAAGUGAAGUGGUGAUGUCUGAUAAUAUGUUUUUAUGGUCAAUUAAUCCUAAAGCACUAUCAUGUCGCUGUAGUACUUAGGGUGUCAAUCCAAAUGGGUGUGAUGCAAACAGAUGAGAUGUGAUCAGAAGUCACUAAGUCAAGCCAAGCAAUAACAAUUUUACUAAAAUCACUCGACCAUAACAGGCUGAUGCCAGAAGUAGGAUGUGGUCGAGUAACUGGUCGAGUAACAGACAGGAUAUGAAACAGCUAUACUCGACUGCACAGUCUGUUGCCAGACACUGGGUGUGGUCGAGUAUACUAGUCGAGUAACAGGCAGGAAACAAGACAAUCUUACUCGACUGCACAGUCUGUUGCCAGACACUGGGUGUGGUCGAGUAAGUUGGUCGAGUGAUUGUAAAAACUAAGAAACAGGCAAUGAGAACGAUUAAGCGAUAACGAUAAAACAGAGAAAUAAGAUAGACGAGAAAUUCCUAAGGAUGGGGUAAUCGAGUAGAGUGGUGUCCUAGCCUAUUCGAAUGGUUAACAAGCGCAAUCAAGCUAUCCCUAGACAACAAGUUCAACAACAGAUCAAUUCACUCCCGUGAUAGAAAUCCUCAAGCAAAGCUAGCCUAGACUAAUUCCCAUUAACGGAAUCUAACUAUGCAGGCAAUAAGAACAGACUGAAAAAGUCAAUAAAUGCUCUAAACGGCCAAUCCCUUGGAAUAGAGACGCAUAUCUCAGGAACUAGUGGAUCAGGCAUUCCAUCGAACACCUUCUGGGUGCGGGAAUGCUUGGGAUCGAAUUCCAGUUGAUCAGAAAGAAAUAAGCAGUAAACGCAACUAGUCCUAAAGGGAUUCAAUCAAUUCUAAGACUUAACCAUUCUACAGACUACGGAUUCCACAACUACUCUAUCCCAUCCCUAAGAAUUCUAAGUCACUACUCAAACAACAUGCUCAAGGACAUAAACACAGAUAAAUGAUAAUAUUGCAUAAGUAAAGAGAUAAAGAGUAGAGAAACAAGAUGACAGAUGAAAUCAAACGCGGAAUCUGAAUAACUUGGAAAAAUCUUGAAUUACAGGUUGCAGAAGCAAAAGCGGCGCAGUAGAGUAAAGCAGAAAAUAAAACUGAAGCAAAAAAAACUCAAUGUCGACUAGAUGUCUCAUGACAGAACCCUAAGACAUCUAUUUAUACCAAACAAAAUAAAAUGAUAGUAGACGGGCCAAUAACCUAAUCGCCCGGCCCAUAGAGUGAUAAUGGGCCGAGAUGGGCUUCGUGAUCCGAUGGAGGUCUAGGCCGCUUCCAAACACUUUGUCUUCUCCUCUUCUCUUCCUUGUGCUUAGCUUGUCUGGUUGAGUGCGGAUUUGAGUAGACUGUGAAGACGUGAUCGAGUGUCCGGUCGAGUGAUGGUGAUGGUGGUGAGUGAUGAUACUCGACCAGGGGGUCGAGUAACGUGGUAGAGUGAAUGGUCGAGUGUGGUCAGGUGGUGUGGCGAAUUGAUUACUCGACCCCUGGGUCGAGUAAUGUCGUCGAGUGGCCUGAGCUGAGGUUACUCGACCUGGUGGUCGAGUGGAUGGGAAGAAUGGCUCCAAAGUCACUCGACCUAGGGGUCGAGUAUGUCUUCUGGUUCUGGCUCGUUUCUUCCAAUUUGCUCUCAAACAGCUCCAAAUCACCUGAAAACAACUCAGAAAUGCAAUAUGUAUGCAAAGCUAUCCUAAUCAUGCAAAGUAUGCAAGAAUGAUGAGAAAUGAUAUCAAACAGUGAUGAAUGAUACGAAACUGGACUCAAAACGAUGAUGAAUGGACACUGAAAACAUGCAAAUUAUAGACAUAUCAACUCCCCCAAACUUAGUCUUUGCUUGCCCUCAAGCAAUUAGGAAGACAUAGUUGAAUGAGAGGAGUGAAGGCGGGGACUCAGAACCAAAGCAUAUGAUAGAGCAAAUAAAAUUAAUGUCCAAGUUGGUAGUUCUAAAAUGCGAUAUGAUUGAAUUCUACUCAAAAACAUUAGCCAUGCCUUGUUAUCAAUAAAUCCGUCUCUUAUACUCGACCUACACAUGUUUUCAAAUCUACCAAUCCCUUUAACAUUCAUUAGUUCUGGAACGUGAAUCAAGCAAUGCAUCAUCAAUGAACUCAUUUGGCUAAGGUGAAGGUCAAGAGACAAAGAUGGUCCCUUAUAGAAUAGGCUUAAGUAACAGGGGAUCCCUCAAGAAUGAUUGAGCUUUAGUAGAAUGCUAAAGGUAAGUCCCAAGUUAUGCAUACAGAGAUAAGAUCCCAUCUACCCAGAGUAUAACAAUGAAGUUCUAACGGUAAUCUCAACUCCUGUCCCAACUUAACUCUACCCUUUGCACUCAUGAAUCUUUCAAACUCUUUUUCAUAUCAUUCUUUCUUUUCUCUUAACUCUAGGAGAAGCUUUCUCAACGCUCUGAUACAUCUAGCGGGUUUGGAUUUCUUUAACAACUAAGGCUCCUGUUUUUUUU